rnacentral:rRNA from 1 species
CCAAGUGCUUAGUUGAAUUAAGCUGGGCACCUUGGACGGGUACCUUAACCCAGAAAAGCCCACGGGCUAACUUACGUGCCCAGNCAGCCGGCGGUUAAUACGGUAGGGUGGCCAAGCGGUUUUUCCGGAAAUUUAUUGGGGCGUAAAGCGGCGCGCAGGUGGUUUUCUUAAGUUCUGAUUUGAAAAGCCCCACGGGUUCAACCGGGGGAGGGUCAUUGGAAACUGGGAAGACUUGAAGUGCAGAAGGAGGAAAAGUGGAAUUUCCAUGGGUAGCGGUUGAAUUGCGUANAGNUANGGAGGACCACCANUGGGGAGGGGGACUUUUUUGUUCGGUAACNGCCAUUGAGGCGGGAAAGCGUGGGGAGCCAACCAGGAUUGGUUACCUUGUUAGUCCAGGCGGUAAAGGAUGAUUGUUAAGUGUUGGAGGGUUUCCGCCUUUUAGUGNGGAAGUUAAGCCAUUAANCAUUCGCCUUGGGGAGUACGGCGGCAGGGUUGAAANUCAAAGGAAUGGAGGGGGGCCGGCCCAAGCGGUGGACCAUGUGGUUUAAUUGGAAGCAACGGGAAGACCCUUACCAGUUUUUGCCUUCUUCUGCCACCCUUAGAGAUAGGGUUUUUCUUUCGGGAGCAGAGUGCCAGUUGGUCCAUGGUGGUGUUCAGCUGGUGUCGUGGGAUGUUGGGUUAAGUCCGGCAACGAGCGCAACCUUUGUUUUUAGUUCCCUUCAUUAAGUUGGCCAUUUUAAGGUGACUGCCGGUGCCAACCCGGAGGAAGGUGGGGAGGAGGUCAAAUCAUCAUGCCCUUUAUGCCUUGGGUUCCCCACGUGUUCCAAUGGACGGUCCAAAGAGCUGCAGGACCGGGAGGUGGAGUUAAUUUCAUAAACCCGUUUUCAGUUCGGAUGUUAGGUUGCAAUUGGCUUCCAGGAAGCUGGAAUGGUUGGUAAUGGGGGAUCACCAGGCGGCGGUGAAUAGGUUCCGGGCCUUGGUCCACACCGCCGGUCCCACCAGGAGAGUUGGUACCACCGGAGGUCGGUGGGGUAACCUUUUGGAGCCAGCCGCCUAAGGGGACAGAGGGG